rnacentral:rRNA from 1 species
UGGGGAAUUUUGGACAAUGGGCGCAAGCCUGAUCCAGCCAUGCCGCGUGCGGGAAGAAGGCCUUCGGGUUGUAAACCGCUUUUGUCAGGGAAGAAAUCUUCUGAGUUAAUACCUCGGGAGGAUGACGGUACCUGAAGAAUAAGCACCGGCUAACUACGUGCCAGCAGCCGCGGUAAUACGUAGGGUGCAAGCGUUAAUCGGAAUUACUGGGCGUAAAGCGUGCGCAGGCGGUUUUGUAAGACAGAGGUGAAAUCCCCGGGCUCAACCUGGGAACUGCCUUUGUGACUGCAAGGCUUGAGUGCGGCAGAGGGGGGAAUGGAAUUCCGCGUGUAGCAGUGAAAUGCGUAGAUAUGCGGAGGAACACCGAUGGCGAAGGCAAUCCCCUGGGCCUGCACUGACGCUCAUGCACGAAAGCGUGGGGAGCAAAACAGGAUUAGAUCCCUGGUAGUCCACGCCCUAAAACGAUGUCAACUGGUUGUUGGGAAGGUUCCUUCUCAGUAACGUAGCUAACGCGUGAAGUUGACCGCCUGGGGAGUACGGCCGCAAGGUU